UACGUAGGUGGCAAGCGUUAUCCGGAUUUACUGGGUGUAAAGGGCGUGUAGGCGGGGAAGCAAGUCAGAUGUGAAAACCACGGGCUCAACCUGUGGCCUGCAUUUGAAACUGUUUUUCUUGAGUGCUGGAGAGGCAAUCGGAAUUCCGUGUGUAGCGGUGAAAUGCGUGGAUAUACGGAGGAACACCAGUGGCGAAGGCGGAUUGCUGGACAGUAACUGACGCUGAGGCGCGAAAGCGUGGGGAGCAAACAGG
rnacentral:rRNA from 1 species